GACGAACGCUGGCGGCGUGCUUAACACAUGCAAGUCGAACGGAAAGGCCCUGCUUUUGUGGGGUGCUCGAGUGGCGAACGGGUGAGUAACACGUGUGUAACCUGCCCUUGUCUUUCGGAUAACUUCACGAAACUGGGGCUAAUAUCGGAUAGGAGCUCCUGCUGCAUGGUGGGGGUUGGAAAGUUUCGGCGGUUGGGGAUGGACUCGCGGCUUAUCCGCUUGUUGGUGGGGUAGUGGCUUACCAAGGCUUUGACGGGUAGCCGGCCUGGGAGGGUGACCGGCCUCAAUGGUACUGCGAUACGGCGCAGACGCCUACGGUAGGCAGUAGGCGGGAAUAUUGCACAACGGGCGGAAGCCUGAUGCAACAACGCUGCGUGCGUGAUGACGGCCUUCGGGUGAUAAACCGCUUUCGCCUGUGACGAAGCGUGAGUGACGGUAAUGGAUAAAGAAGCACCGGCUAACUACGUG
rnacentral:rRNA from 1 species